UACGUAGGGUGCAAGCGUUGUCCGGAUUUAUUGGGCGUAAAGAGCGUGUAGGCGGCCAUACAGGUCAGCUGUGAAAACUCGAGGCUCAACCUCGAGACGUCGGUUGAAACCGUAUGGCUAGAGUCCGGAAGAGGAGAGUGGAAUUCCCGGUGUAGCGGUGAAAUGCGCAGAUAUCGGGAAGAACACCCGUGGCGAAGGCGGCUCUCUGGGACGGUACUGACGCUGAGACGCGAAGGCGUGGGGAGCGAACGGG
rnacentral:rRNA from 1 species